rnacentral:pre_miRNA from 2 species
CGAUGGUGUCAUGGUCAUUGUUGACCGUUCAUAAGAACCCUGCAAUUGCAAUGUAUUGCAGCUUGUGUGGGUUCAUAUAACGGUCAAGAGACCCUUGACAUCAAAGA